rnacentral:rRNA from 1 species
GAACGCUAGCUACAGGCUUAACACAUGCAAGUCGAGGGGCAGCAUGGUCUUAGCUUGCUAAGGCCGAUGGCGACCGGCGCACGGGUGAGUAACACGUAUCCAACCUGCCGUCUACUCUUGGACAGCCUUCUGAAAGGAAGAUUAAUGCAAGAUGGCAUCAUGAGUCCGCAUGUUCACAUGAUUAAAGGUAUUCCGGUAGACGAUGGGGAUGCGUUCCAUUAGAUAGUAGGCGGGGUAACGGCCCACCUAGUCUUCGAUGGAUAGGGGUUCUGAGAGGAAGGUCCCCCACAUUGGAACUGAGGCACGGUCCAAACUCCUACGGGAGGCAGCAGUGAGGAAUAUUGGUCAAUGGGCGAGAGCCUGAACCAGCCAAGUAGCGUGAAGGAUGACUGCCCUAUGGGUUGUAAACUUCUUUUAUAAAGGAAUAAAGUCGGGUAUGGAUACCCGUUUGCAUGUACUUUAUGAAUAAGGAUCGGCUAACUCCGUGCCAGCAGCCGCGGUAAUACGGAGGAUCCGAGCGUUAUCCGGAUUUAUUGGGUUUAAAGGGAGCGUAGAUGGGUGUUUAAGUCAGUUGUGAAAGUUUGCGGCUCAACCGUAAAAUUGCAGUUGAUACUGGAUAUCUUGAGUGCAGUUGAGGCAGGCGGAAUUCGUGGUGUAGCGGUGAAAUGCUUAGAUAUCACGAAGAACUCCGAUUGCGAAGGCAGCCUGCUAAGCUGCAACUGACAUUGAGGCUCGAAAGUGUGGGUAUCAAACAGGAUUAGAUACCCUGGUAGUCCACACGGUAAACGAUGAAUACUCGCUGUUUGCGAUAUACUGCAAGCGGCCAAGCGAAAGCGUUAAGUAUUCCACCUGGGGAGUACGCCGGCAACGGUGAAACUCAAAGGAAUUGACGGGGGCCCGCACAAGCGGAGGAACAUGUGGUUUAAUUCGAUGAUACGCGAGGAACCUUACCCGGGCUUAAAUUGCAGAUGAAUUACGGUGAAAGCCGUAAGCCGCAAGGCAUCUGUGAAGGUGCUGCAUGGUUGUCGUCAGCUCGUGCCGUGAGGUGUCGGCUUAAGUGCCAUAACGAGCGCAACCCUUGUUGUCAGUUACUAACAGGUUCCGCUGAGGACUCUGACAAGACUGCCAUCGUAAGAUGUGAGGAAGGUGGGGAUGACGUCAAAUCAGCACGGCCCUUACGUCCGGGGCUACACACGUGUUACAAUGGGGGGUACAGAGGGCCGCUACCACGCGAGUGGAUGCCAAUCCCCAAAACCUCUCUCAGUUCGGACUGGAGUCUGCAACCCGACUCCACGAAGCUGGAUUCGCUAGUAAUCGCGCAUCAGCCACGGCGCGGUGAAUACGUUCCCGGGCCUUGUACACACCGCCCGUCAAGCCAUGGGAGCCGGGGGUACCUGAAGUGCGUAACCGCGAGGAGCGCCCUAGGGUAAAACUGGUGACUGGGGCUAA